rnacentral:rRNA from 1 species
UCCAGAGGGGGCAAGCGUUGUUCGGAAUUACUGGGCGUAAAGGGCGCGUAGGCGGCCUGUUAAGUCGAACGUGAAAUCCCCGGGCUCAACCCGGGAACUGCGUCCGAUACUGGCAGGCUUGAAUUCGGGAGAGGGAUGUGGAAUUCCAGGUGUAGCGGUGAAAUGCGUAGAUAUCUGGAGGAACACCGGUGGCGAAGGCGGCAUCCUGGACCGAUAUUGACGCUGAUGCGCGAAAGCCAGGGGAGCAAACGGG